UACAGAGGUCUCAAGCGUUGUUCGGAUUCAUUGGGCGUAAAGGGCGCGUAGGUGGCCCGACAAGUCAAUGGUGAAAGUUCGACGCUUAACGUCGAAUCGGCCACUGAUACUGUUGGGCUGGAGCACUGUAGAGGCUCAUGGAAUUCCGGGUGUAGCGGUGGAAUGCGUAGAGAUCCGGAAGAACACCGGUGGCGAAGGCGGUGAGCUGGGCAGUUGCUGACACUGAGGCGCGACAGCGUGGGGAGCAAACAGG
rnacentral:rRNA from 1 species